rnacentral:rRNA from 1 species
UACGGAGGGUGCAAGCGUUAAUCGGAAUUACUGGGCGUAAAGAGUGCGUAGGUGGUUUAAUAAGUUAUGUGUAAAAUCCCUGGGCUCAACCUGGGAAGGCCAGAUAAGACUGUUAGACUGGAGUAUAGAAGAGGGUAGUGGAAUUUCCGGUGUAGCGGUGAAAUGCGUAGAGAUCGGAAGGAACACCAGUGGCGAAGGCGGCUACCUGGUCUAAUACUGACACUGAGGUACGAAAGCGUGGGGAGCAAACAGG